AUCUGUGAUGAUGAAAAUGUCGCCCCAGUCUGAUGUAAAUACACUGACUGAUUGACUAAGAUAUCUGAGGU